GGAAGGGUCAUAGUUCAGUGGGAAAAUGUUUGCUUUGCAUGCAGAAGGUCCCUGGUUCAAUCCUCAGCAUCUCUUUUU